rnacentral:rRNA from 1 species
GUUUACCAAAAACAUGGCUUCUUGUAUAAACAAUAAAUAAGGAGUCGGACCUGCCCAGUGAAUUUUUUAACGGCCGCGGUACUCUGACCGUGCAAAGGUAGCAUAAUCAUUUGCCUUAUAAUUGAAGGCUAGUAUGAAUGGUUUGACAAGAAUAUAGCUGUCUCUUUAUAAUUUUAUAGAAUUUUAUUUUAAAGUGAAGAAGCUUUAAUACAAUUAAUAGACAAGAAGACCCUAUCGAGCUUUAAAGGAAUUAUUAGAAAUUAAUUAAUAAUUUUUAAAAAAUUGACUAUUGAAAUAUUUUGGUUGGGGCGACUAAGGAACAAAAAAAGCUUCCUUUUAUAUAGUUUACAUUCAUGUAUUGAUCCAAAGUUUUUGAUUAAAGGAAUUAGUUACCGUAGGGAUAACAGCAUUAUCUUUUUUGAGAGCUCUUAUCGAAAAAAAGGUUUGUGACCUCGAUGUUGGACCAGAAUAUCCUAAAGAUGCAGAAGUCUUUAAGGGUUGGUCUGUUCGACCAUUAAAAUUCUACGUGAUCUGAGUUCAGACCGG